rnacentral:rRNA from 1 species
AGAGUUUGAUCCUGGCUCAGAAUCAACGCUGGCGGCGCGCCUAACACAUGCAAGUCGAACGAGAAAGGGGAGCAAUCCCUGAGUACAGUGGCGUACGGGUGAGUAACACGUGGAUGAUCUACCCUUUAGUGGGGAAUAACCCUGGGAAACCGGGGCUAAUACCGCAUAAGCACGAGAGUGGAAAGCAGCAAUGCGCUGAAGGAGGAGUCCGCGGCCGAUUAGCUAGUUGGCAGGGUAAAAGCCUACCAAGGCGAAGAUCGGUAGCCGGCCUGAGAGGGCACACGGCCACACUGGCACUGAAACACGGGCCAGACUCCUACGGGAGGCAGCAGUGGGGAAUCUUGCACAAUGGGGGAAACCCUGAUGCAGCGACGCCGCGUGAGCGAUGAAGCCCUUCGGGGUGUAAAGCUCUUUCGGCAGGGAAGAUGAUGACGGUACCUGCAGAAGCAGCUGCGGCUAACUACGUGCCAGCAGCCGCGGUAAUACGUAGGCAGCAAGCGUUGUUCGGAGUUACUGGGCGUAAAGGGUGUGUAGGCGGUUGUUUAAGUUUGGUGUGAAAUCUCCCGGCUCAACUGGGAGGGUGCGCCGAAUACUGAAUGACUCGAGUGCGGGAGAGGAAAGUGGAAUUCCUGGUGUAGCGGUGAAAUGCGUAGAUAUCAGGAGGAACACCGGUGGUGUAGACGGCUUUCUGGACCGUAACUGACGCUGAUACACGAAAGCGUGGGUAGCAAACAGGAUUAGAUACCCUGGUAGUCCACGCCCUAAACGAUGCAUAUUUGGUGUGGGCAGUUCAUUCUGUCCGUGCCGGAGCUAACGCGUUAAAUAUGCCGCCUGGGGAGUACAGUCGCAAGGCUGAAACUCAAAGGAUUUGACGGGGCCCGCACAAGCGGUGGAGCAUGUGGUUCAAUUCGACGCAACGC